AUUGAACGCUGGCGGCAUGCUUUACACAUGCAAGUCGAACGGCAGCGCGGGCUUCGGCCUGGCGGCGAGUGGCGAACGGGUGAGUAAUGCAUCGGAACGUGCCCAGUAGUGGGGGAUAGCCCGGCGAAAGCCGGAUUAAUACCGCAUACGACCUGAGGGUGAAAGCGGGGGACCGAAAGGCCUCGCGCUAUUGGAGCUGCCGAUGUCGGAUUAGCUAGUUGGUGGGGUAAAGGCUUACCAAGGCGACGAUCCGUAGCUGGUCUGAGAGGACGACCAGCCACACUGGGACUGAGACACGGCCCAGACUCCUACGGGAGGCAGCAGUGGGGAAUUUUGGACAAUGGGGGCAACCCUGAUCCAGCCAUGCCGCGUGAGGGAAGAAGGCCUUCGGGUUGUAAACCGCUUUUGUUCGGGAAGAAAUCCUCUGGGCUAAUACCCCGGGGGGAUGACGGUACCGGAAGAAUAAGCACCGGCUAACUACGUG
rnacentral:rRNA from 1 species